UGAGCAAUCUGCCCUUCUCAUCGGAAUAAGCGUUGGAAACGACGUCUAAUGCCGAAUACGACCUCCUUUCGCAUGAUCGGAGGUGGAAAGCUCCGGCGGAGAAGGAUGAGCUCGCGGCCUAUCAGCUAGUUGGUGUGGGUAACGGCCCACCAAGGCGACGACGGGUAGCCGGCCUGAGAGGGUGACCGGCCACACUGGGACUGAGACACGGCCCAGACCUCCGUACGGGAGGNAG
rnacentral:rRNA from 1 species